rnacentral:lncRNA from 1 species
GUGGCACCAGGGUUUAUUAGGGUGUGCUUUAGUACAGGCGCUGGGGCUUGCCCAUGGUGCUCUUGAUGUACAAAGCCCGGACAUUCUGCCAAUUCUUCUUGAGCAGUGACACCAGGAAGUUGACAGCCAGGUGGAUGUUGUACACAAGCUCAUCGUCUGUCGUCUUCACGUGGCCGACUGCCACAGCCAGACACAGCACCUUCUUCAUCUGGAACUUGAUCGUGGACUUCACCUCAUCAACUGGCCACCAUGUUCUCAUUGUGUGUCAGCAGGGAGGGGAACUUGCCAGCCUGAUUUAGGCCUGGGCCCAGGAUUCGUGGGAUCUGCUUAAUCAGAGACUCUGAGGCCAAAAAGGCGUCAUACUUCUUGGCCAGCUUCUUGUUCUUGUUGAGCUUCUUUUUGUUUUGUUUUUUUUUUUUUUUGUUUUUUUUUUUUUUUUGACAGGCAGAGUGGACAGUGAGAGAGAGAGACAGAGAGAGAGAGACAGAGAGAGAAAGGUCUUCCUUUGCCGUUGGUUCACCCUCCAAUGGCCGCCGCGGCCGGCGCGCUGCGGCCGGCGCACCGCGCUGAUCCGAUGGCAGGAGCCAGGAGCCAGGUGCUUUUCCUGGUCUCCCAUGGGGUGCAGGGCCCAAGCACUUGGGCCAUCCUCCACUGCACUCCCUGGCCACAGCAGAGAGCUGGCCUGGAAGAGGGGCAACCGGGACAGAAUCCGGCGCCCCAACUGGGACUAGAACCCGGUGUGCCGGCGCCGCAAGGCUUGUUGAGCUUCUGGAGCGCCUCGAUGUCCGUGUGGGGGAUGUCCACAGCCUUGGCCUCGUCGCAGUGCUGCUGGUCGCCCAGGACACACACGCAGAACUUGGGGCGGGGCGUGGACUUCCCGCACCGCCUCGUACAGGGUGCCGCGAGAGACUUUGCUGCUCAUGGCUCCUCGCGCCGCGGUAACCGGAAAAGAGUGCAUCUUAAUGCCUAGUUUAAGCACCAACCCUAUACAUUUUGUUUGAAUUAUGUCAAGUCAUUUUCAUAGUAAUUGACAAGUAGAUUAGUGAUAAGCUGAAACAAUAGCUUGAACCCAGGAAAUUGAAGAGUUAUGCUUCAUUGUCUAUAUUUUAUUACCUCCUACCUGUUGGAACACAGAAAACUAUUGAAGAAGUCUCAGGGCUGGUGCCGUGGCUCACUUGGUUAAUCCUCCGCCUGCAGCACCGGCAUCCAUAUGGGUGCUGGGUUCUAGUUCCAGUUGCUCCUCUUCCAGUCCAGCUCUCUGCUGUGGCCUGGGAGGGGAGUGGAGGAUGGCCCAAGUACUUGGGCCCCUGCACUAAAUGGGAGACCAGGAGAAGUACCUGGCUCCUGGCUUCAGAUAGGCACAGCACCAGCUGUAGCAGACAUCUGGGGAUUGAACCAAUGGAAGGAAGAUCUUUCUGUUUCUCUCUCUCACUGUCUAUAACUACCUGUCAAAUAAAUAAUAAAAAAAAGUCUUAGUGGUGUAAUCA